GCGGAUCUAGCACCACCACCUCCAUACUGGCGUCGAUCUGGCGAGCAGCUGGCAGAUCCGGCGAGCGGUGGUGCGGUCCGUGGAUGGGCUCAGUGGGCCCAUAGGUGGGCUCGCUAGGCUUAGUCCACGAGUAUUCAUUUUUUUUGUUUUAUUUUAUUAACUGUGGCGAGCAUAUGAACCACCUCGAUAAAUCAAUGAUUUAUCGUGACUUUUUAUCCAAGGCAGUUACAAAAACUGUCUCGGUUAAUCACUUUUGUCCACCACGGUUAAAGAUUCCUGGUGGCAGCAGAAGAAGAAUCUCGGAUUCUCAACUCGCAUAGCCAGAUGGUUGAUCCUGAACGGGGAGGCGCUGGUUUGGGGAGACAGGCACGCUGCUACGAUGAGCUCGAGUGGAGAAGCUCGAUCCACAACGUUUGGUUUACAUGCAAGAGCGGCCGACCCUCUGAGAGUAAAAUUCUUCAUGUCGGCUCCUUAUGCAGGGAAGGGAAGGAUUCAGUGCCACAAAAAUCUCAUUAUGCAGCGGAAGAUGAUGUGGUCCGCGGAUUCCUCCCAAUGACCCCAGUGCCACAUGAUCUUCUGCUGUGAUUUUGCAGUUGAUUUCUCGAUCGGCAGCUAUUGGGAAUUGGGAUUCAAUGGCUAGCUAACCAAAUUAACUGCUAGGGACCUACACCGUUCUUCGCUGCCAGGUUCCAUUCCUCGG
rnacentral:lncRNA from 1 species